AAACAGUCGGUGCUUGCAGGUGCAGCACCAUCAAGAUUCACAUCGAGUUCAUCCCUAAACGAGAUCGAGGUUGGCUGACUAUAUGUGAUGAGAAUCUUGAUGAUGCUGCAUCAGCAAACGCUCGACUACU
rnacentral:pre_miRNA from 3 species